rnacentral:rRNA from 1 species
UACAGAGGUCUCAAGCGUUGUUCGGAUUCAUUGGGCGUAAAGGGUGCGUAGGCGGCGCGGUAAGUCGGGUGUGAAAUCUCGGAGCUUAACUCCGAAACUGCAUUCGAUACUUCCGUGCUUGAGGACUGGAGAGGAGACUGGAAUUUACGGUGUAGCGGUGAAAUGCGUAGAUAUCGUAAGGAAGACCAGUGGCGAAGGCGGGUCUCUGGACAGUUCCUGACGCUGAGGCACGAAGGUCAGGGGAGCAAACGGG